rnacentral:lncRNA from 1 species
UAUUAUAAAAUAAAACUUAUAACAAUAUUCAUGACAUUAGGUACUAUCAGCUACAUGCAGUUUAAAGGACUAAAUUCCCUCUAGCUAAGUACUAGUAUUAUACAUUUUUACAUCUGUUUAUACUUCCCUCCUUAUGAGCAUUUUUAAAAAAAGCACAAAGCAAGUUUCUUGGAUCCAUGAAUUUCUUCACAUAGGUCCUUUUCUCAACAUUGGGAUGGAGGAGGUUAGGGAGCUAAGCUACUUUUGAAAUUAAACAAAAGGUCAAAGAUACCUUGUUAGCCUACCCUCAUUUCUAUGAUUUCUGAGUAAGCUAUGAAUGAACCCUGGUUGCAGCAAUGUUAAAAGGACUGUAAAGGCAAGACUUUAUCUAGGACAAUGUACUAAAAUACUAAUUUAAUAGAGCUUUUGAACUAGGCCAAAUGUGCCUUUCAGAUAUUUCCAUAAACUUUCCAUUGGCUUCACCACUGGGAUUUGCAAGUGAGAAUUUAAGGGCAAGAUUUGUCCUAAAUGGGUUUUUUUUUUUUUUUCCUCUUGUAUUGACCUUUCACAACCUCCAGUUAAACGCUGUCCAAAUUAAGUAUUUCUGGACUUACAUAUACCUCUUAGAAUAUUGCUUUAAAGUUGCAUUUUUAUCUGCUUCCUAGAAAGUGGCUCUCAUUUGUAUGUAGGCUGCCUCAUGUAAAAUUUUAUUAUUUCAAACUAAAAAUGAGUAUUUCCUUGUCUUUAUUUAUCAUGGCAAAUUCUGCCAUAGUGGAAAAAGUGAAUUUCAAUUCAUCAUGGUGAUUCAGCUGUGUGUUUUCAUUUUACAUUUUGGUAGAAUUUGUUGCAGUGCAGCCCGUGUUGGCAAAUACAAGAACAUUUUUUUUAAGGCAUUCUGUACUCAGAGUGUUCUCAAAGCAAUUCCCAUAUGAGUUAUAUUUCAACAAGCAAACAAACUGUCACUUUCAUCAAACAGCUUGACUUUGUAUUCCUACAGAAAAAAGUAAGCCUGGCUAGUAUUUACAUUGUAAAUACAUGGAAUGAAUUUAUAUAAGAAGUAAUUUUAAAUCUAGUCAAAAAUAGAUUAGAAUUGGAAAGACUGUGUUCUGAUAUGGGAAAAAUAAUCUGAGAACAUACUAGCUAAGAAACCUAUAGAGUUUUUUUAAAAAACUCAUUUCAGUUCUUUGCAUUUUCUAUCAGGAUUGGUGGUCCUUAGCGCCAAAUUCUCUUCUUAAUAAAUAGCAUUUUAAUAAUAGCUAUUGCUAAGUUUCAAAUUUCCUGGUCUAGGGAGCUCAUGGAAUUAAUGGAUUUUUCCUACAUCUCAAACUUAAUGCUUAGAGCAACUUAAGCAUGGAGAAAAGUCGAAUAAUUAGAGAAUAACUAUUGAUUAUGGCCGUGGCAAUUCCAUGGUAUAUGAAAGGAAAUAUUAAUGUGAUUUAGGAGUCUGGAAAGUAUUAGCGAAAUCAAGAAAGAAACGUGGAGGAAUCACAAAGAUUUAAUUUAUUUGCAAGAUAAUUUUAGUUAAAUUAUAUUUGCCUUAAGAAUCUAAUGGAUCUAAUAGGGGUGUGUGUGUGGGGGUGCCUAUAAUUAAGAUACUAAUUUCUAUGUCUUUUAUGAAAACCAUUCUCUUUGGGUGAAUACAGGUCCCUUAUCCAAAUAAAAAUACCCUAAAACUAGUUUCUAGCUUCCUCCAAUUUCGUCAGAUCUAAGUACAUAAAGCAGAUGUGUGCCUUAUAAUAAAUCAUGUUACUGCAAUAUGCAGCUUGAAUCUAUUAGCUUAAAUUCUUGAUGGUUGAUUAGAAAUCAUACAUACCCUAUAUAAAAUUAGUAUUAGCUCAGCCCUUUUUAUACUGUUGUCAUUCUGACUUGACUCUAUUCUGCAAUUUCAUAAGCACAUGAUAAACAUUACCAAGCCUGUACCAAAAAACAAAGUAUUAGCGACUUUGCCAAAAAACUUGCUAACAUGGAAAACAGGGUGUGCCUCUUUAUAUCAUUGCAAUGAGAUUUUAUUAACCUAAAGACCACUGCCCAUAUAUCUGAAAUUCUAUAAUAUUUCUUUUACUUUAAGAAGUAUAUGAGAUUCAUUACUUUCAAAAAUGGUUGUUUAGUGUUAUAUUGUGGCUAUACACUGUACUCCUGAAUAUGUUUUAACUCUUCAUGGAAUUGCUGCAAUGCUGACUUCAUCACUUGAUGAGCUCAUUUCUCUGCUGGCAAAUUGCUUUGAGUUAGAAACAGAGACACCAAUACUCUAGAUAUUCUAGAAGCUACUCCUCCCACACCAGAGAACACAGUAAUCUAGUAAGAGAGUGAAAGUCAUUUCCAAGAGGCUGUCUGAGAAAUUGUAUGAUUCCAUUUUCUCUACUUCUUUUUUUCUCCGCUUCUUAAUGGCAUCCAUCUUGUACUUAGGUCUUCCAGCUCCAACACAAAAGAGUGGACAAAUGCAACUACCGAAAGACAUCCUUAGUGAAGAAAUUGCUUAAAAACCUAAGUGCAAAUGUUUUGACCAUAGGGACAUAUCCCAAGAGAUGUGUUUUGUUUUGUUUGUUUGUUUUUCCCAAGCAAAGUCUUUAUUACAGGAAAGCAGACAGCUCCCAGGAAAGCUGGGAGGGGGGAGAAGAACCCCCCUCUCUAUUGUCUUAUAGGGGAUUUUAUCCCUUAAAGAUGGGGGGGUACCCUAAGAGGUGUUUUAAAAUUCUCUUUCUCCAAUUUGAGAAAACUGAUAUCAAAUGUGAGCAGCUUGAUAAAGUGCUUAGGCUUAUGGAAAAAUAAAGUCACAAACAAUAUUUGGGAAACUACACAUAGGCUACGCACUGGGCUGAGAACUAUGGCAUCCUCAGCUCUGUCUUCCUGAUGACCCGGGCAGUAUGGAGCACAGAGCAGAUAUUACAUAAACGUUUGUAUCUCAGGCUCUUUGCACUUGCUCGUUGUCUGCCUAGAAAAUGCUUUGGUCACCUAGACCAGGACUCCUCACCUGUAGCCGUCUUGGUUUAGCCCCAAACCCUACCAUACCUCUCAAGCUGAAGUGUUCUUGGUGAGCCCUCCACGCUUGGGAAUGAAAUGGCUAUCUCUUAAAACACUGGGAAGCUGCAGGAAGGGCUUGUUUUUUAUAGUAAUGCAAAAGAAAGAUAGUAAGAUCAACGCCUUUUGGAAAAAAGGAUAAAUCUUUUUAAGCAGCAUGCAACCCAAAGUGUUCAUUGUUUUCUUAAUGACAGGUAGGGGUUGCCCAUUUAGCAUUCUUCCAUCACAUGCUGUGGGCAGCCGUGAAUAAGCUGAAGUGAGAAAUUUAAAAGCAAGCAUAGGAGUUCCCAUCAUGGUGCAGCUGAAACGAUUCUGACUAGGAAUCAUGAGGUUGUAGGUUCGAUUCUUGGCCUCACUCAGUGGGUUAAGGAUCCGGCAUUGCCGUGAGCUGUGGUGUAGGUCGCAGAUGUGGCUCGAAUCCCACAUUGCUGUGGCUGUGGUAUAGGCUGACAGCUGUAGCUCUGAUUUGACCCCUAGCCUGGGAACCUCCAUAUGCCGUGGUUGUGGCCCUAAAAAGACAAAACAAACAAAAAAGCACCAUUGUAUGAAUCUGUGCAGUGAAUAUGCUAGCCUGAGGUAGAGAAUUACGGUAAAUGAAUACUUACUUAAAAAUGUGAAAUCCGACCAAUUGUAAACAGAUAAACUGGCAGUGCUCUGCCUUUAGAAUGAGAACCUGAAAAUAACGAUGUAAUUUCCAAAUUGGGCCAACAGGGGACGGGGUGGGGGGUCAUCUGACACAAAUCUAGAUAGAAAGAAGAUGUUUAUCCUAUUAGUCAAGUUUGCCUGAGUCUUUUUUUUUUUUCUACUUGCUAGUUAGACGUAGCUCUAACCCCAGAAUUGUAUCCUGUGCUAUGUAUAUUGGUGGACACAUGAGCCUAUAUAGUGAGAAUCUGUUCAGUUUCAUAUAGGUGAUUGCAUAUAUGUCAGUUCAGGUUUUCAUCUAAUCCUUAAAGUCUCAAGUUCAAAGGAUCACUUCAAGUAGUACAGAUUUAUAACUGGACCCAUUAGACUCAAAUUCAGGUUUUCAAAAGAAGCAGAUUUUAUAAGCAGCAGCUCUCACUGAGUUACGCGGUGUGUGCAGUCUGACCAUGACUCCAGCAGUUGUAGAGGAGAGGUGACCUUUGCCCAGAACUGUCAUGUGCCCCCCAUGCUCUUACCAUCCUUUGCCUCAAAGCAUCAAGGAACAUGCAGGAUCCCUCUGCCCCUCUCCCUUCAUCGUCCAAUGACUUUCCGCCUUCAAAGCUGCCCAUGAUGGUGUGAUGGUAACUCCGUUUCACUGUGGUACACAUGGGAAAAAAGGAAAGAGGGGGCGUGAGAGUGUGGUGCCUGCUGGUCCCUUACCCCCUGGCCUUUUCUCCCUGGCCUGUCAACAAAGCAGACCCAGAUAUUUUCAGCCUGGGAGACAUGGUGGACUCAGAGCUAAAAUGCUUUCCAUGGCUGAGGCUUAGAAAGCAGAGGAAGCAUCCUGGAGUUGCUGGGAAGACUGUCCAUGAAGCAAACAAAAGCCCUCUUUCCUCCUAGCCCCACACGUGGCACCCCUAGUAAAAACAUGAGGGGAAAGGGUGACAGGAUGGCAGGUUCAGCAUGACUGGCAAAAAAACUGGCCCGGCCUGGCUCAGAUCUUACAGAAUAACAGCUCUGCAAAUAAAUAAGGUGCCAGGCCAGAGAGACUGGCCAAAAAUAUUCUCUUUUGGGAGUGGGGGGUGGGGAGAUCUUACCAACAGUCAACAUCUUCAAGGAAGCUGGGCAGACACAAUCCAUCUCUGGGGCCCACUGCUCUCCCCACUUCCGAAGCCCCUCACUCCAGACGGGGUACGCCUUUUGUCAGUUCUAGCAGGAGUGGAAAGUUUCUUUCAAUUGCCACCAUCAGCAGUUUAAAGAACUCCAUAUUACCCCUCUGUUCCCAUUUUGACACUUGACCACAGACCCUACAGAGUUGGCUGGCCCUCAGGUCAUCGGUUGCUAAUGGAAUAACAUUUUGUGAUAGAUGUUCUCUAAGAUUCCAAUCCCAUAAUUUGGCAGCUGCUCUGAAAGCUCUUCCCUUGUUUUCUAAGCAUCCAGAAGCAGAGGCAGAAGCAGAGGCAGAACCUGGAGAGGGAAGUGGCAUCUCUCCCACCUUGUGUGGUCAGGCCAGUGAUGUGGCUGAGGGGUGCUUUCCCCAACACAGCAUCUGAUGCUUCCUCUGUCAUUUCCUCCUUCCUUAUCUUCAACUCUUCCCACUUGGAGAGCCCUGAUAGAAGAGCUGGGAGAAGGCAUCUAGAUGUCCACGUCUUCACCUGUGGCUCUUUGAGCAAUAGCCACGCUUCUAGGACAGUAGGGAGCAGAGCCCCAGGAGUCUCCAGGCCAGCACCUGGCUCCACCUCUAUGUCCCCACAGCACCCUCUCCAACGGUGAGUCUUGGCACCCAAGGCCUCCCUCUCUCUGCGGUCCCCUCUCGGUGAUCAGGAAGGCUUUGGAAGAAUGGGGAGCAGUACUUCCUAUGACACUUGGGGGCACUAGGCAGGCUGCCCAGUGACCAAAGAAUGCUCACCAUCUCCUUCAUUUCGAAGUGGGGUUUCCUGUCCUCAAAUCUUAUUAUUUUCAGGGCUGUGCAGGCCAGAGAGUAUUUGGACAUGUGCUAAUAGGGUAACCCCUGCUUUAAGGGUUUUCUUUCCCUGCAUUUUUUGAGACUUUAGUAGUUUUCCAUAGAGACAUGAAGGUGUCAUCAGGGCUUUAUCUUUUAGUAGCAUGACCUGUUUUCCUAAAAGCUGAUUUUGAUGGGAGGGCAAAAUAUGGACUCUGAAGAUCUGAGUGGGAGAAGUAGCUAGAAUAAAGAGUUAAGGACCUAUGAGAGGUAGAAUUCUUUUUUUUUUUUUUUUUUUUUUUUUUUUUUUGGCCGAACCUGUUGCCUGCAGAAGUUCCCAGUCAAGAAUGGAACCCUUGCCAGUGACCUGAGCCCCAGGGGUGACAGUGCUGGAUCCUUAACCACUAGGUUAUCUGUUGCAAGACAUGUUUCUACAAUAUUUUCUUAGCCUCUUUGCUGAAUACUCCAUCUUGUCCUGCUUUACUUUAUCCCAUCUUCCUGCUUGAAAAACAGUCACAGUGCUGGUAAAUGACUUAAGCUUAAGAACAAAGACCUAAAGGCAUAAGUUAUUCAUGGGGUCAGCUGAAUGAGGACAUAAUGCGUUGGUCUA